rnacentral:tmRNA from 1 species
UUUCUUCCAUUGCGCCCAUCAUUAUGCUAUAUUCCUUAUGUUGACUUAAGUCGGCUAUGGUAAUAGCGCAGCUACUGGAAUAAGCGGACUGGACCUGGGGGCAGUACCCAGCAUCUCCACCUAAGUUCCUUGAAUAUGGGGAAUUUUGGUGGGGGUGACACAGCAUCGACAGGCGUUGUAAAGAGUGGAUGUUUACUCGGGAUAGUACCGCCGCAUACCUACCCUUUGGGGCAAGGGUGAUUGGACUAAGCAAUUUAAGUGCAAACGAUAACAACGCACUUGUUGCUGCUAACGAUAACACAAUCGUAGCGGUUCGCGCUGCUGCCUAAGGGUAGUCCGCGAAUUCUAGCAGUGAACGCGGCUCGGGAGAGGGCCGGGCAACAGAAUCUCUCCCACC